rnacentral:lncRNA from 1 species
AAGUAUACAUAUACUCAUCAAUAUCACCAGUGCAUUUAAGACCGGUAAUAAUGACAAAUUCAAGUAUGGUAAAUUUCAGGAUCUUCCCCUGCACCCACACAUGAAUCUUGUCCUUAAUAUCCUGCUGAAUUUCUAGUAUAAGGAUACAUUUUGAAAUGUGCCCUAUCUAGUUGCAUUGCGGCAAGUCAAGAAAAAUCCAAAAUAACGUAUUUCUAAAUU